rnacentral:rRNA from 1 species
CCCAGACUCCUACGGGAGGCAGCAGUGGGGGAUAUUGCACAAUGGGGGGAACCCUGAUGCAGCGACGCCGCGUGGGUGAAGAAGUAUUUCGGUAUGUAAAGCCCUAUCGGCAGGGAAGAAAUUGGACGGUACCUGACUAAGAAGCCCCGGCUAACUACGUGCCAGCAGCCGCGGUAAUACGUAGGGGGCAAGCGUUAUCCGGAUUCACUGGGUGUAAAGGGAGCGUAGACGGCCAUGCAAGCCUGGAGUGAAAGCCCGGGGCCCAACCCCGGGACUGCUCUGGGAACUGUGCGGCUGGAGUGCGGGAGGGGCAGGCGGAAUUCCUGGUGUAGCGGUGAAAUGCGUAGAUAUCAGGAGGAACACCGGCGGCGAAGGCGGCCUGCUGGACCGCGACUGACGUUGAGGCUCGAAAGCGUGGGGAGCAAACAGGAUUAGAUACCCGUGUAA